CCUACGGGAGGCAGCAGUGAGGAAUAUUGGUCAAUGGGCGCGAGCCUGAACCAGCCAAGUAGCGUGAAGGAUGAAUGCCCUACGGGUUGUAAACUUCUUUUAUAAAGGAAUAAAGUGAGGCACGUGUGCCUUUUUGUAUGUACUUUAUGAAUAAGGAUAGGCUAACUCCGUGCCAGCAGCCGCGGUAAUACGGAGGAUCCGAGCGUUAUCCGGAUUUAUUGGGUUUAAAGGGAGCGUAGAUGGGUUGUUAAGUCAGUUGUGAAAGUUAGCGGCUCAACCGUAAAAUUGAAAUUGAUACUGGCAGCCUUGAGUACAGUUGAGGUUGGCGGAAUUCGUGGUGUAGGGGUGAAAUGCGUAGAUAUCACGAAGAACUCCGGUUGCGAAGGCAGCUUACUAAACUGCCACUGACAUUGAUGCUCGAAAGUGUGGGUAUCAAACAGGAUUAGAUACCCGAGUAGUC
rnacentral:rRNA from 1 species